rnacentral:rRNA from 3 species
ACAAACGACUCUCGGCAACGGAUAUCUCGGCUCACGCAUCGAUGAAGAACGUAGCAAAAUGCGAUACUUGGUGUGAAUUGCAGAAUCCCGUGAACCAUCGAGUUUUUGAACGCAAGUUGCGCCCGAAGCCAUCCGGUCGAGGGCACGUCUGCCUGGGCGUCAC